rnacentral:lncRNA from 1 species
UUCAUUGGUCAUAUAAGCUGUUUUGGGAGCUAUAUUUUGCUAGUCUUGCAUAGAGUAAUAGUAUCUGUGGGUCUGGAUGUGCGUUUGCCAUUUGAGCAGAAGACUAACAGCAAACAAGUUAUGUAUCAGUCUGAGAGUUUUUUGAACUCACCCUUUGUACAGACCUAGCUUGCUGGUCUUGCUGGUGCUAAUAGAAGUCUUUUCUGAUAGGUAAGCAGACUUCCCAGAUAUGUGUUUGACUAUGAAGUGAGGAUUUAGGACAGUCUGUAUCUUCCUUGUGUGCAUCUGUCUUUCGUGGCAGGAGCUGCCAUUGCAAUGGUCUCCAGCAGGCAGUGUCACCCGGUCACACAGAGGAACUCUUGGAGAAGGAGCACUGCGAGACGCGAACCUCUCCCAAUUUAUGAUCUGCUCUUACGUUAACUAACGGAGAAACGAGUGGGAAGUCUAUGACUUAAUGACAAAACAGAACAGUGUUUUACACCUGUUUAAAGACGGAAGAUCAGUGGUGGGCCUCAGUUACAGAUGGCUCAGGAUUGACUGGGGACUAACAGCAGUCUUGGAGUGACAGAAACUAUGUACCCAAUGGAUGGCUUCUCGGAUCUUCAGCUUCUAAGAGGAAAAAAAGACGUCUUCCUGACGGUCGUGUGUCUUCUGGCCUGGGUGUACAACUGGGUGUACCACGUGUAAACUUGCCUUCUGCUGGUCAAGCCUUUCAAACUUUAUUCAAAUAAAACUCUUGGGUGCUCUGUUGAGAUCA